UACGGAGGGUGCGAGCGUUGUCCGGAAUUAUUGGGCGUAAAGAGCGUGUAGGCGGUUCGGUAAGUCUGUCGUGAAAUCCUGGGGCUCAACCUCGGGCGUGCGAUGGAUACUGCCGGGCUAGAGGGUGGUAGAGGCGAGUGGAAUUCCCGGUGUAGCGGUGAAAUGCGCAGAUAUCGGGAGGAACACCAGUAGCGAAGGCGGCUCGCUGGGCCACACCUGACGCUGAGACGCGAAAGCUAGGGGAGCGAACAGG
rnacentral:rRNA from 1 species